UGCCGAGUAGCCAAACGGCAAGGCACGGGACUUUGACUCCUGUAUUGCUGGUUCAACUCCAGCCUCGGUAGCCA
rnacentral:tRNA from 1 species